GCCUGGCUGGCUCAGUGGGUAGAGCAUGGGACUCUGGAUCUCAGGAUCGUGAGUUCAAAUCCCACAUUGGGCG